rnacentral:rRNA from 1 species
GCGAGUCAUUGUAGCAUACAAGGCAUACGGCUCAGUAACGCGUAGUCCACCUAACCUAUGGACGGGAAUAACCUCGGGAAACUGAGAAUAAUGCCCGAUAGAACAUUAUGCCUGGAAUGGUUUAUGUUCCAAAUGAUUUAUCGCCGUAGGAUGGGACUGCGGCCUAUCAGUUUGUUGGUGAGGUAAUGGCCCACCAAGACUAUUACAGGUACGGGCUCUGAGAGGAGUAGCCCGGAGAUGGGUACUGAGACACGGACCCAGGCCCUAUGGGGCGCAGCAGGCGAGAAAACUUUGCAAUGUGCGAAAGCACGACAAGGUUAAUCCGAGUGGUUUCUGCUAAAGAAACCUUUUGUCAGUCCUAGAAACACUGAUGAAUAAGGGGUGGGCAAGUUCUGGUGUCAGCCGCCGCGGUAAAACCAGCACCUCAAGUGGUCAGGAUGAUUAUUGGGCCUAAAGCAUCCGUAGCCGGCUCUGUAAGUUUUCGGUUAAAUCUGUACGCUCAACGUACAGGCUGCCGGGAAUACUGCAGAGCUAGGGAGUGGGAGAGGUAGACGGUACUCGGUAGGAAGGGGUAAAAUCCUUUGAUCUAUUGAUGACCACCUGUGGCGAAGGCGGUCUACCAGAACACGUCCGACGGUGAGGGAUGAAAGCUGGGGGAGCAAACCGGAUUAGAUACCCGGGUAGUCCCAGCUGUAAACUAUGCAAACUCAGUGAUGCAUUGGCUU